CGCUGGGUAGACUAGUAAAUUGUGCAGUUUCUUCCUCACAACUAGCAAAAAUGAAGUAUACCUUAGCAAUCCUCGUCAUCUUCGCCAUUUUCUACUACGUCAUGGCGCAAGAGGAGGAUCCGUCUUCCGAAAGUAAGGAAGACGGUGGUCAACUGCGCGGGAUAUGGCGAGCCGCCCUGCACUAAAUCACAUGGCAGGUGGGAAUUUACAUGCAAAGACGAACAAGCCCUUCGCACUUGUUAGGAAUAGGAAAGCGUAGUUCUGUAGUCUGUCUUGCUGUAUUAUUAGUUGCUAAUGUAGAAUCUGCGAAAAUUAAACUCUGAAUUAUUAACUCGUU